rnacentral:tRNA from 1 species
GCGCCUGUAGCUUAGCGGCUAAAGCACUGAGCUUAUACCUCAGAUAUCGAUGGUUCGAGUCCAUCCAGGCGCACCA